CGGCAUUUCGAAUAUCACGCCAAAUUAAAACCACAAUUGAAAACAAAAAUUAAUUUUAAUUAUGCAUUUAUUGCGCCGUCGGCUCAACUGAUUAUAUUAAAAAUUAAUUCAAUUUAAAGCUGGCGCGCUUAAUACCCUUUACGGUGCAUUUUCACAUAAUAUCAAUUAACACAUACCGCGCACUACAAGUGUUAAAUAUACACGCGUAUUUCGUUGAUUCAAUCGAAGGUCCUGCCAUAAUUCAAAAAGGCACAAUUCCGGGAAUUCUAUAAUUCAAUGAAAUUGAAUGCUCAGUUGCAAAGUGUCAAGUGGACGGCAAAAGGGCGAAAUCCAAAUGGAGUUGCGGAAAUGCAUGUUUUAUGGAAAAUCCACUCGACACUCGCCGAUAAAAUGGGGCCAAGGGAUGGGUAUGGACAUAUAGAUGGAGAUAGGGGGGCCAAAAGCCGAUGAUAGCAGGCUACUAAAUCAAUAAAAUGGUCAAGCAGUUGGCGCAUAAGUCGAAAACAUAAA
rnacentral:sRNA from 1 species